GGGCGGUUAGCUCAGUUGGUAGAGCAAUUCGUUUACACCGAAUGGGUCGGGGGUUCGAACCCCUCACCGCCCACCA
rnacentral:tRNA from 1 species